CCCGCUGAACUUAAGCAUACCAAUAAGCGGAGGAAAAGAAACUAACAAGGAUUCCCCUAGUAACUGCGAGUGAAGCGGGAAAAGCUCAAAUUUAAAAUCUGGUGGUCUUUGGCUGCCCGAGUUGUAAUCUAGAGAAGCGUUUAUCCGCGUCGGACCGUGUACAAGUCUUCUGGAAGGGAGCGUCGUAGAGGGUGAGAAUCCCGUCUUUGACACGGACGACCGGUGCUUUUGUGAUGCGCUCUCAAAGAGUCGAGUUGUUUGGGAAUGCAGCUCAAAAUGGGUGGUAAAUUCCAUCUAAAGCUAAAUAUUGGCGAGAGACCGAUAGCGAACAAGUACCGUGAGGGAAAGAUGAAAAGCACUUUGGAAAGAGAGUUAAACAGUACGUGAAAUUGUUGAAAGGGAAACGUUUGAAGUCAGUCGCGUCGGCCGAGACUCAACCUUGCUUCUGCUCGGUGCACUUCUCGGUUGACGGGUCAGCAUCAAUUUUGACCGCCGGAUAAAGGUCGGGGGAAUGUGGCAUCCUUCGGGAUGUGUUAUAGACCUCGAUUCGGAUCCGGCGAUUGGGAUUGAGGAACUCGGCGCUUUGCGUCCAGGAUGCUGGCCUAAUGGCUUUAAGCGACCCGUCUUGAAACACGG
rnacentral:rRNA from 1 species